rnacentral:tRNA from 1 species
GCGCCACUAGCUCAGUUGGAUAGAGUGUUUGGCUACGAACCAAAAGGUCGAGGGUUCGAGUCCCCCGUGGCGCGCCA